rnacentral:lncRNA from 1 species
ACAAACUCACAAUGUUUUGAAAGACAACAUUACAGAGUAGGCAUAAAGAAAACUGGACGAGAAAACUUAGACAAUUGAUGAUCAUCAAAAUAAAAAGGCUCUACAAUAUGAUUCUUGAUAUCAUAGAUUCCCAUGUCGCAGAAGCCUUUUUCAUAAAAGUCGGAUUGGUCGUCAGUGAAGUAGAUGCAGUUCCCCUUUUAUUCUGGGUAGUCAGAGGUUGAGAUGGCAUAAGAAGUAUUAUUCCCUAGAAACAAAGCAUGGUCACUCAAAUCUUCUACCUCCGCCCACGUCUUUGAAUGAAAAUCAAACUUGUAUACCACAAAAUAUGUUGUUUCAUUGUGGUAGUCGUAUGCAGGUGUAUCGUCAAUACCAUUGAAAGCUCGUUCAACCAUGCAAAGAUCCCCAGACAAUUCGACGAGAUAAAAUUUGCUACAAACAUAUAUAUUAUCUGGGGAUGAUGCAAAAUCUUUUGCUUUAGGCUGAGGUGUGUUGACCUCACAAAUCCUUAGCAUUCCUUCAGUAGUAACACCAUAAAACUGACCAUUGAAGAAUAUGACGUCUUGGUAGUUUAACUCAGAACAUUCCACAGAUGUCCAAGCUUCAUCUCCAGGAGAAGCAACAGCAAGAUAGCAGAGUUCUCCAUAUACAGCCCUAACCAAUGGGCAUUGUCCAGACUCGAAAGUAAAUGGAUCAGAUGAAAGAGCAAAUCUUUUAAGACACGUCUGACAAAGUUCUUCAGGCGUACUAUGACCUCUAUAUUGGUGUUCAAACAUAGGUUGUGAAGGUAGAGAUAUUUGAACACGGGAUAAUGGAUGUAAAAGAUGGAUAUUAAGGUCAAGACCAAAGGUGAGCAGGUGUCAGUUGGGCUCAACUGGUAAAACCUCUGGGUGAUGAUACCAGAGGUCUGGGGUUCGAAUCCCGCCAGCAUUACGAGUUACUGAUCUCAUUAAAAACAGGCUUACCACAACAUUUUUGCGAAUGAGCCUGUGGCUGAAUGGUAGCACCCCUCUCACAAAGUGGAGAGGUCGUGGGUUCGAAACACGUCAACAGCGGAUUGUUGAUAUAAGUUUCCACACGUAAUUUAAAAGGGGUAGGGGUCCCCACAACCUCGCUUACCAACCAAAAAAAAAAAGCAACCAACCAUAUGGAGUUCCCCAACAUCUUGUUCUAUUAGCUUGAGGCAAAUAAUAAUUGAAAAGCCUUUUGGUAGAAUGACAAUAAAAGGAACGAAUUGAUCCUUUCUUAAACUGUUUGUCGUUUUUAGUUUUAGCUAACAUUAGCCAAGGAGCACAAGGGAUGAUACAACCCUUUAGUUUUUUCACAACAAAAUGCCAUGACUUGCAAACGCAACUAAAUCGCGCAAAUUCAUUAGGAUAAGGUGGUAGUCGUUUGAAAACAAGAUCAAUGUUUCUUCGGGCAAUUCAGACCAAUUUGCCAUAAUACAAUAGUAGUUGUACAAGAAGAGAACAACUUUUCAGAAUUUCUUCUAACAAUUCUCUAGGUAACAACAAAUAUGGUGAUGGGGUUGGUAUUAGAAUACUCAAAUUCCUCUAGCUAGUGAGUCCUAAUAUUUUCAGAAAUCCAAAUUAUAAAAUGUUUAACAAAAAAAAAAAGGCAAUUUCUAUUUUCUAAAGUUAAAAACUUAAAACAACUUACCAUGAACAAGCACUAGCAGAAGCAGAAGCAGAACAACAACAACAGCAGAACAAAGAGAAGCCCUCAAGUCUUAAACCAAAAUAGAAAGAGACAGGCAGAUGAUGAUCUAGGGUUCAGUUGGAAAUAAUAUCAGAAACCCAUCCAAUCACCAGAUUUAAGAAAUCCUUCAAACUCUUGAUUGGAACUUGGAAGAUUGAAGGUAGAGGUAACAAAAAACUCCAAGCUCACUGGUAUUAGAAUUCUCAAAUUCCUCUAGCUAGUGAAUCCUAAUGCUUUCAAGAAUCCAAAUUUUAAAACGUUUAACAAGGCAAUUUCUAAAGUUAAAUCUUUAGCUUACCUUUGAAGACGCACUAGCUUAGCAGAACAGCAAGAAGAGAAAUCAUUGAAGAAAAUCCCCAAAUCUAUCAAACUCUUGAUUGAAGACUGAAGAGUGUGAGAAAGGGAUUAAAAACUCCAAGCUCACUGAUUUGAUUUGGACCUUUGGCAAAAGUAAAAGUAGUUUGAGAGUUUUCUUAUAUUUAAAAAAUGGUCCCUAUAUCUUCACUUUAUCAAUAAAACCCCAAACUUCAAACCAAAUAAAAAUUGGGUACAUAUUUCCUGUACAACUUCAAGUCUUCAACCAAAUAAGAAUUAUAUUGAAUCUUAGGUAGUGGGUUGAACUGCGUAUAUGUGUGUUGAGACUUGGGAGAUCACUUAACUUCCAAAUAAUAACACAAUCAGGUAAGAAUUGCAUGAUGCAUUGAUACUGUCGGAAAUUUGCAGCUAGCUGCAAGGUUUCGAGAGAACUUGGCUAUGUGAAUGCAUUUUGGUUGAUGGACGUUUUGUCGAGGCGACCCCAGUUUAUGCAGAUCCACUGGUUUUGGGAUAGACAAGGGUGGUAAUGUGGUAUGCAUUUUAUAAUUUGCAUAAUAGAAAAAAUAAAAAAAAUAAAAAAAAAACCUCUCGCUCGAAAAUGACCCCUGUUUAAUGACUUCACAGAGAUUCAGGUUUGACAGAGGCCACUUCUACUUGAUAUUUCAUCAGUCUUGACUGUAAUGAAUAUUAGUGUAUCUAAAUAAAACAUCUGCAUACAAUAUUUUGGGAACUUAAACAUAGUUAUCAGGCUAUGUUUUCAUAAAAAAAAAGGGCUUACAUUAGAGCACUUAUUACACAGAGUUGUGCAAAAUCAUUGGAAGCUUAUCUGAGUUCUAAACUUACAAUGUAUUCACUUUAUCUAACCUACUUUUCUUCUGAUACAUAUAUUCAAAUGUAGGCAUUUUCGUUAACGUAGCUUAAAUGUCUUAAGAGGUAAUUAUCAUCCACAAAUCAAAUCUCAAUAGAUUAAGAAGACUAGUAGAGGCUGUGAAUAUAACAAGUAAACACACUCCGACCUUCUGUCAAUGGUAACACCAAAACCAAAUUUCUGAUCAGCAAAGUCAAAUUAAAGUUGGAUACUAUGUAGGCCUUAAUUGCCUCCGAGCUAAAAGUUGCUGCAGAGCCACAGAAGAUCAAUUUAGCAGAAGCAGACUGCACCCACUGCCACUGGCAUGUUCCAAAUGCAACAGGAGUUAAUAGAUAAACAAAGUGCUUCGAGAACCAGAUGCUCAUGGACUCAUGGUUUGUGAGAAGAGGUUUAUCAGUAAGAGUCAUCUCCAUGAUAAAUAACAUUGUUUUCAAUGAAAAUAAAAUCUUGUUUGGCCAAUUAUAUAGUGUUGAAAGGAGCAGGCAAUUUGAAGUUCACAACUGAAUUACUUGAGCCCAUUAAAGUUCACAAAGUCAAUUGCGAACAAACUCAGCAGCAAGGUGCUGAGGCUAUUUUACUUCCGUCAUUUUGCAUCUUAGUGUGAUGAUCUGAUCUUGCAAUCUGCCUUUUCUGCGUACCUUGACAGGGAAGAAUGGACUAAGACAAAAAAAAAAAAAAAUCUACAUGACACACUUGAUUUUUAAGGAUCAACCAGCCACAAGUACAAAAUAAUCUCAAGAUGACAGUAAAACCACAUCAACCAGAUCUACACAGAAAUCAAAAUCUCUUAAACCAGAUAUGAGGGAAUCAAAUAGAUGGAUCAAACAAUCAAGUACAUUAAACCAAAUAGAAUGCAAACAAAUCAAACCAAAUUAUAACUCACUCACGGCUGGCUUUCAAAUCAUUUGACCAAGAAAAAGUUGUACAAUUGCUUAACUACGGAAAUAAUAAAAUUAAUUUAAAUGCCAUACAUUGACACAAUGAUGUAAAAGAUAUUGUAUCAUUACAGAGUAGGCAUAAAGAAAACCGGGCGAGAAAACGUAGAAAGUUGAUGAUCAUCAAAAUUAAAAGGCUCUAUCGUGUUAUUCUCGAUAUCAUAGAUUCCCAUGUCGCAGAAGCCAUGAGGAUAAAAGUCAGAAUGGUCGUCAGUGAAGUAGAUGCAAUUCUCUUUAAAUUCUGGGUAGUCCGAAGUUGAGAUGGCAAAAGAAGUAUUAUUCCCUAGAAACAAAGCAUGGUCACCCAAAUCUUCUACCUCAGUCCACGCCUUUGAACGAAAAUCAAACCUGUACACCACAAAAUAUGUUGUUUCGUUGUGGCAGGGUAUUGUAGGUAGAUCAUCGGUGGUAUCGAAAGCUCGUUCCACCAUGUAAAGAUCCCCAGACAAUUCGACGAGAUAAAAUCUGCUACAAAUAUAAACAUUGUCUGGGGGUGAUGCAAAAUCUGUUGCUUUAGGCUGCCGUGUGUUGACCUCAAUAAUUCUUAACAUUCCAUCACAAGAAAUAGCAUAAAAGUGGCCAUUGAAGAAUAUGAUGUCUUGGUAGUUUGACCUAGAACAAUCCACGGAUGUCCAAACUUCAUCUCCAGGAGAAGCAACAGCAAGAUAGCGUAUUUCUCCAUAUAUAGCCAUAACCAAAGGGCAUUGUCCAGACUCAGGGAUAGAUGGAUCAGAUGAAAGAGCAAAUUUUGUAAAGUAACUCUGACAAAGGUGUUCAGGACAAUACGCAUCGAAUUGGUGUUGGUGUUCAAACGUGGGCUGUGAUGGAAGAGAUAUUUGAACACGGGAUAAUGGAUGUAAAAGAUGGAUUUUAAGGUCAAGACCAAAGGUGAGCAACCAACCAUAUGGAGUUCCCCAACAUCUUGUUCGUUUAGCUUGAGGCAAAUAAUAAUUGAAAAGUCUUUUGGUAGAAUGACAAUAAAAAGAACGAAUUGCUCCUUUCUUAAACUGUUUGUCGUUUUUACUUCUAGCUAGCAUUAGCCAAGGAGCAAAACGGAUAAUAUUACUCUUUUGUUUUUUAACAACAGAAUUCCAUGACUUGCAAACACAACUAAAUCUCGCAAAUUCAUUAGGAUAAGGUGGCAGUCGUUUGGCAACAAGAUCAAUGAUUUCUUCUGGCAAUUCAGACCAAUUUGCCAUAAUAUUAUUAUAUUAGAGCAACCGUUUUUCUGAAUUCACAACUUUUCUGAAUUUUCAGAUUAAAUCUCCAUCUAAGAAAUCAGUAGUCCUAUAUUUAUAGUAAAAACUGCAAUAGGAUUUCUUUUCCAAUUAAGGUUCGAAAAUUCAGACAGAGUACCCCUAGUACUAAUUGUUGUUUCAGAAGUCAGCACCUUCAAGGCAAUUUCGUUUUAGCUAAAGUUAAGAAACUUACCUUUUAACAACAACAGCAAAACAGAAAGAGUUACCAGACCUUGAAUUAGAAACUAGAACAGAGAACAGCCGCUUCAGAUCUUUAAGCCAAAAAAGAGAGAGACAGUGCAGAUCUAGGGUUAAUCAACAACAUAAGAUACGAUGAUGAUGAUGAUGAUGAUAUAAGCAACCUGUUGCCCAAGUACAACUGCUUUUAAUUCUGUUUGGUUGGGUAAAGUUGUCAAACACUUCAACAUACAUACUAAUAAAGUGAGUUUUGUUUUUUUCUUAAUAUUAUUUUAAGAAACACUAAAGUUUGGUACCGAAGGAAGUAUUCAAGCAAUUGCUCUUUUAAUUAAUCAAGGUGUUGUUGACAAUAUACUCCAACAUGAUUUUUUUGGGUAGAUUUUGAUACAUGCAUACAUAUACCUACAUACAAUGUUGCAAACAAACUCAGCAACAAGGUGCAGCGUUUUACCUUGAAAUUUGCAUGUCAGUGUGCUCAUAUAAUCUUAGAAUUCGCAUUUUCCGCAUACGUUUUCAAUUUGGACAAGAAAAAAAUUGAUACAAUUUAUGAAGCAAUCAACCAUAAGUACAACAGAAUCUCAACGAAUCAGGAAAACGCCAUUAACCAGAACUACAAUGAUAUAAAAAGAAAAAUCUCUUAAUUAAACUAGCUAAAUAUGAAGAAAUCAAACAAAAAGAUGAAACCAUGAAAUUUUAAACUAAACAAAGGGAACCCAAUAUAACCAACUCAGGAUUGACUUUCAAAUCAUUCGACCAAGAUAAAGUUUGACAACUUCAUAACGAAAUAAUAACAAUAAUUUAAAUGUUAUACAUUGACACAUUGAUUUGAAAGACAACAUUACAGAGUAGGCAUAAAGAAAAUUGGGCGAGAAAACUUAGAAAGUUGAUGAUCAUCAAAAUAAAAAGGCUCUAUCCUAUUAUUCUUGAUAUCAUAGAUUCCCAUGUCGCAGAAGCCGCGUUGAUAAGAGUUAGAAUGGUCGUCAGUGAAGUAGAUGCAAUUCUCUUUAAAUUCUGGGUAGUCAGAAGUUGAGAUGGCAAAAGAAGUAUUAUUCCCUAGAAACAAAGCAUGGUCACCCAAAUCUUCUACCUCAGCCCAUGUCUUUGAAUUAAAAUAAAACUUGUACACCACAAAAUAUGUUGUUUCGUUGUGGAAGGCUAACGUAGGUACAUCAUCUACAGGAUCGAAAGCUCGUUCAACCAUGCAAAGAUCCCCAGUCAAUUCAACGAGAUAAAAUGUGCUACAGACAUAUAUAUUAUCUGGAGGUGAUGCAAAAUCUGUUGCUUUAGGCUGCCGUGUGUUGACCUCAAUAAUUCUUAACAUUCCAUCACAAGAAAUAGCAUAAAAGUGGCCAUUGAAGAAUAUGAUGUCUUGGUAGUUUGACCUAGAACAAUCCACGGAUGUCCAAACUUCAUCUCCAGGAGAAGCAACAGCAAGAUAGCAUAUUUCUCCAUAUAUAGCCAUAACCAAAGGGCAUUGUCCAGACUCAGGGAUAGAUGGAUCAGAUGAAAGAGCAAAUUUUAUAAAGUAACUCUGACAAAGGUGUUCAGGACAAUACGCAUCGAAUUGGUGUUGGUGUUCAAACGUGGGCUGUGAUGGAAGAGAUAUUUGAACACGGGAUAAUGGAUGUAAAGGAUGGAUUUUAAGGUCAAGACCAAAGGUGAGCAACCAACCAUAUGGAGUUCCCCAACAUCUUGUUCGUUUAGCUUGAGGCAAAUAAUAAUUGAAAAGUCUUUUGGUAGAAUGACAAUAAAAAGAACGAAUUGCUCCUUUCUUAAACUGUUUGUCGUUUUUACUUCUAGCUAGCAUUAGCCAAGGAGCAAAACGGAUAAUAUUACUCUUUUGUUUUUUAACAACAGAAUUCCAUGACUUGCAAACACAACUAAAUCUCGCAAAUUCAUUAGGAUAAGGUGGCAGUCGUUUGGCAACAAGAUCAAUGAUUUCUUCUGGGAAUAAUUAGACUUGUUCUUCUUCUAAUCCUAAUCGUAUGAGAAAUUCCAAGUUGAUGAAUUUACCUUGAAAAGGCAGAACAACGCGUGAACAACAGCACAAGAGAAAGAGCUGCUAAUGAACAGGCAGAUCGAUCUAGGGUAUAAAGAUUGAAGAAGAGUGACUGUGGGAAAAGCUCAAAAAAACCUUGAAGAUUUGGACCCUUGGCAAAAAUAAAGUAAAACUGGUCCCUAUUAGUACUAUUUCCUAAACAAGUCCCUUAAUGAAACAACAAUUGCUCUAAGGAAGUUGUAAAGAAUUUGCAAGUAUUGAUCAUUGUAAGUUUGUAACACGUUGCACCACGUACACUAUGUUUUUCAAGGUCCCUAUUAAUUAAUGUAGUACGUUGCAAUUGGAUUGUUCGUGCACAACAUGGUAAAUCAACAAUGGAGCUGUUCUGAAGAAGCAUGACAGCGUGCAGAACGUUUCACACAAUGGGAGACCAUAUUAAGUGAGCAGGAUUCUACUAGCGGCCAGGGGUGUUAUGUCAGUAUGCAGCUGCUAUGUGGAGGCAGUGUUCUAUGAAACCGGCACAAAGUGGUUUGACAUCAAUUUUGUGACAAAGUGUCCAUGGUUAUCUCACCUUGAGUUCAUUGUUAGGAAAACCAAGUUGUACGCACAUCGUCCCGAGUUUGUGUUCUCAUGUCCUUGUGUCAAACUCGAGUUUUGGGUUCAGGACGUACGUACCUCUUAAGGACGUUCGUACGUCCAAGUAGGCAGCAGACGUGUUUUGGUCAGGACGUACGUACCGAGUUAGAACGUUCGUACGUCCAUGUAGUCAGCAAGUUCGGAUCGUGUAUACGACGUACGAACGUCAUAUCGACGUACGUACGUCCAAAGUCGGUUUACACUAUUUCGGCCCAUUUUCCUUGAUUUCCAACCCUAGGUAUAAAUAGGGUUUCUCUUCCAAACAACAAGAUAGUUCUUUGGCCGUCCAUUAUCCUUCUAGUGGUGGAGUUUUGGUUUAGGUUUUGGUGUUGAAAGUGUUUGUGGCUAUUGAACUCAAUUCCCUUCCUUCCUCCUUCUCUCAAUUCAUAACUUUGUGAACUUCCAAGUAUCAUAGUGAUUUAGCUUCGAGUCUUCUUGUGUGUUCAUCAAGAAGUCGAGUAUCCUUGUGUGUUCAUCAAGGAACUCUGGUGUAAGCUUGUUUCAUAGUUCGGCUUCGAGUCUUCUUGUGUGUUCAUCAAGAAGUCGAGUGUCUUGUGUGUACAUCAAGGUGCUCUGGUGAAGUCAAGGUGUUAGAGAUAACCAGGAGUAUCAACUCGCAGUGAGUGCAGGUAAUUGGUAGGUUUGUACAUCUCUUUUCAUAUAGUGGAUUAUUUGUUGUCGCGAGGACAACCGUGGACGUUUCCCAUAUUGGGUUUUACCACGUUAAAAAUAUCGUGUGUUCUUUAUUUGUUUAUUGCUUUAUUGUUUGCUUUACUAUUGUUAUAUUGUACAUAUAUUGGGUUCUCAAUUGGUAUCAGGAGCAGGGCGCUUGUUAAGGAGCGUAAAGGCUCACGCGUAGAUCCUUAGUGCAAUUUUAAUGGAUUCUGAUAAAUUUGGAACACUAAUUUGUCCUCCUAAAUUUGAUGGAACUAAUUUUCCCUAUUGGAAAGUUCGUAUGGCUGCUUAUUUGCAGGCUAUGAGUGAGGAUGUGUGGAUCGCUGUGGAAGAUGGUUGGUCACCACCGAGAGUUACUACAGGUAGUACAGAUGAGGUUGUUACAAGUGUAAAGCCACGAAACACAUGGAGUGUGAAAGACAAAGUUGCUUCUACUAACAACCAAAAAGGGCUUAAUGCUAUAUUUAUGGCUUUGGAUGCUAGUGAAUUUCGGAGAGUUCAUGGUUGUAUAACAUCCAAAGAGGCUUGGGAUAGGUUGGUAAGAACUCAUGAGGGUGACAAUGCUGUCAAAGAGAGUAAGCUUGAACUUCUUAUUACUCAAUUUGAAACUAUGAAAAUGGAUAAUAAUGAAUCUUUUGAUGAAUUCUUUAUUCGUUUGCAGGAUAUUAUCAACACUAGUGCAUCUUUAGGUUUAGUGUACACCGAUACUCAAAUAGUUCGUAAAGUUCUUCGGUCUUUGCCAUCUAGAUUCCGUUCUAGGAAAGAUGCCAUUCAAGAAAGCAAUGACUUAAAGACCAUGUCCAUAGAGACCUUAGCAGGAAAAUUGAGAACUUAUGAACUUGAGGUUCAACUUGAACAACCUCAAAAUAAAUCCUUUGCUUUUAAAGCUGGAACUUUUGAGGAUGUACAAGAUGAAGGAAUUAAUCAUGAUAAGUCUCUUGACACUAAGCAACAUCUAAGUAUCAUUUAUCGUUAUCUUAAACAUAUUUUUAAGACUAUGAAAUAUAAUGGUUUGACUAACCAUGGUUUUGACGAGUGUAAGCUUCCCAAGAAAUUUGGUGCACAAGGGAUAGAACAACAAAAAAUCAAGUUAUCUACCACUUGGGAGGAAGAUGAAAGCGAUGAUGAUGAUGAUGUUGAUGUAGCGGAAGACCAUGCUACACAUUGUGUUGCCUAUGGAGCAUCUUUGAAUGAGAAUGUGGAUUGUCAGGUAACCGAUAUUGUCGAUCAUGAAUUCGAUGAUUCUAUUUUGGUAAGUCCUGGUGAGUUAAGGGAAUUACACAUGUCAUCUGUUAAACAAUGUCAAUCCUUGCGUAAGACUAAUCAGAUUUUAAAUGAUAUGGUUGAGUCUCUUGUGAAAGAGAAAUCUGUACUUGCAGGUGAUAUGAAUGCCUUAUCUGAGGAGUUUUCCCAAGAAAAGCUAGAUUUCCAAUCUAGAAUUAUUUCUUUGGAAAUAUCCAAUCGUGAGAUAGAAGAUAAGUAUCGUUCUUUGUUGCUUGAGCAUGAAGCUGUGAAAAAGGAUUUAUUCGCUUCUACUAAGCGAUUGCAAGGGUUUGAGAAAGCUUCAGUUGAUCUAGACACCCUUAUUAAAAGUGGAAAGUCUUCUUCAGAUAAGACUGGUUUAGGAUAUGACUAUGUCGGAGCUUCCUCCAGUUGUGUCCCUCCUACUACUUCUUUUGUGAGGCCAUCAUUGCCUCAUUUGUUACCAAAUCCUCAUAUUCCUACUCCGUCUGCACCUACCAAGGCUUUUGAAUCUAAGCCAAAUGUGAUGACCAAGAACAAGACAAGUCCUAAACAUAGACAUUUUAAGUGUUUUACUUGUGGUCGGUUAGGUCAUACUUCCGCUUUCUGUUGGGAUAACAAUUCCAUGGUUCCAUAUUCUUCUUCUUAUGGUAAUAAUUAUUGGAACUCACAUUGUUCUUUUCCUGUACAUGCUCAUCAUUUCUCUUGGCCUCCUUUUAUGAGAAGAAGUGGCCCUAAAAAACCACAACACUUCAACAAUAGAAAGAAGGUUGUGCAAAAGGUCACCAAACCACCUCACAUAUGGGAUAGAAGCAUCGAUGCUGCCAAAUGUAGUCUAGAGAAUGAGAGGUUAAAGAUUGGAAAGUCUACUAUCAGGGAUAAUAUUCAAAAAUCCUCCAUAUCCGGGUCCAACUUGCAGAAUAUCUCUCAAGUAUGGGUACGAAAGGAUGACUUGAACGUUCUGUUUUGACUUCUUAAAGUCAGAUUGAAUAUCAUCUUCGUAUUUUUAUUUUUAUUUGUUUGUUUUCUAGCCUUGUGUUAUUUUAAUUGCAUAUUUUUCUAACCAUAUAGGCUAUUUGUUUGGUGUGUUUUGUCUUUUUGUUUAUGCAUGUUUUGUUUGUUUGGGUUGAAUAUCAUAAAAAAAAAAAAAAAAAUAGUUUACUUUGUUAUGGGUGUUUGGGAUACACAUACUUUGUAUAUGUGGUUAGAUUGGUCUAUUGCUUUCAAUCAUACUUGUAUGCUUAGUGCUCAUGAAUAUAACUAUUUUAUUACACUUAGCAUACGCUUGUGCUUUCAUGUUUAGAUUUUAGACCAACGUUUAUCUAGUUGUGUCUCAUGCAUAUAUCCUUGCUUGAUUACACUAUGCACAGCUAGGUGGCACUUUGAGAGUUUGUUUGCAUAUCUUUUUCCAUCCUUUGAACAUGAUAAACUUCUGGGAUAAUCAUUAGUUGGAAAUAUACGUAUGCAUGCCUUCUUAUGUUAUCUUGAUUAUUAGUAUGAAGGCGGUGUGGUAGUGGUCAACAAUUCACAAAAUCCCCAGCCUUUUGAUCUUCUUGAGAAAGAAAUCAUUUGGUAUACAUACCCGUUGGGGCCGUGAGGGUCAUGCAAUGACGGAUGCACUCAAGAGAUGUUAGUUCUUGUGUUGCACGUUACCAUGAUGUUGCACUACUUUGAAAAGGGGAAGUAAUUUGAAAAGAUGUAGGCUACACCCUAUCACAUGUUGCAAAAGAUGAAGGUAAAAAUCCCUUUCACAUGUUAAUUUAUGCACAGUAAAAAAAAAAAAAAAAAAAAAACAGGUUAUAAGUGCAUUUCCCUGUGUCUGUUUAGGCGUUUGUGAAGUGAAAUUCUUCUAAUGGUGAAUACUAGUUGUUUUGAGUGUUCUUAUGGUUUGUGAGUGAGGUGUGGAAAUAACUCUCUUUGUGUUUUCUUUAGCUUUCCCACACACCAAGGAUGUUUGUAUGAUGCAUUUCUAGUAGAUGUUUGGUUUCAUAUCUUAAUCUUUGAUUGGUGCGUACUUUGUUUAAUGAAACCAAGUUUAUUCAUCUUUACUAAGUAUCUUGUUUUAAUUGAGCUUGCAUAUACUCUCUUCUACCCUUGUAUGCAUGGUUCUUUGUGUGUUUCAAAUAUCCUUAUUUUGUUUGUUUUUCUAGGUGCAUCUUUCUCAUAUGCAAUGCAUUUGGGUGGAGCUUUUGUUUAGGGGGAGAAUUCUUUGUAUUGACAUCGUGUUAACAAGUGUUUAUUUUAUGGCUUCCGUUGCAUAUCCUUUUUGUUGUUAACAUGAUUGUUCUCUUUCUUUUCUUCUUUAAUCUUAUUUGUUAUGGUUUGGUAUUUUUCUUCUCUUUCUUUUGUUACCUUGCUUCAUUUGUGACAAAAAGGGGGAGAUUUAUGACUCUAAUACUAACACCUUCUUCUUCUGUGUUAGUGUAUUUUUGGGUCAUGUUGCAGGUAUGCUACACGUAUGGGGGAGUGAACGUGUUGAUGUUUAGAGGUUGUACAGUUAUGGGGGAGCUCGAGUGUCAAACUUUGGAGCUCAUGAAGUAUGGGGGAGUUGCUCGAGGAACUUCCGUUGGCUCUUUGAUUGUUUCAGAAUUUUUUGUUGCUUCCGUUCGAUCUCUGAUAAUCAAACUGUCGGUGUUAGCUGGAUGUCACGAAUUGGUGACUUGGUAUGUGUUCUACCUUGAGUGAUUCUGUAGGCAUGUUUUAUAAAUGCCAUGGUUUGGGUUUGUAAGCACGUUUUAUAAGUGCUAUUAGAGUCAUAGGUUUUUGUCACAAAAUCAAUGUCAAAGGGGGAGAUUGAAACCGGCACAAAGUGGUUUGACAUCAAUUUUGUGACAAAGUGUCCAUGGUUAUCUCACCUUGAGUUCAUUGUUAGGAAAACCAAGUUGUACGCACAUCGUCCCGAGUUUGUGUUCUCAUGUCCUUGUGUCAAACUCGAGUUUUGGGUUCAGGACGUACGUACCUCUUAAGGAUGUUUGUACGUCCAAGUAGGCAGCAGACGUGUUUUGGUCAGGACGUACGUACCGAGUUAGAACGUUCGUACGUCCAUGUAGUCAGCAAGUUCGGAUCGUGUAUACGACGUACGAACGUCAUAUCGACGUACGUACGUCCAAAGUCGGUUUACACUAUUUCGGCCCAUUUUCCUUGAUUUCCAACCCUAGGUAUAAAUAGGGUUUCUCUUCCAAACAACAAGGUAGUUCUUUGGCCGUCCAUUAUCCUUCUAGUGGUGGAGUUUUGGUUUAGGUUUUGGUGUUGAAAGUGUUUGUGGCUAUUGAACUCAAUUCCCUUCCUUCCUCCUUCUCUCAAUUCAUAACUUUGUGAACUUCCAAGUAUCAUAGUGAUUUAGCUUCGAGUCUUCUUGUGUGUUCAUCAAGAAGUCGAGUAUCCUUGUGUGUUCAUGAAGGAACUCUGGUGUAAGCUUGUUUCAUAGUUCGGCUUCGAGUCUUCUUGUGUGUUCAUCAAGAAGUCGAGUGUCUUGUGUGUACAUCAAGGUGCUCUGGUGAAGUCAAGGUGUUAGAGAUAACCAGGAGUAUCAACUCGCAGUGAGUGCAGGUAGUUGGUAGGUUUGUACAUCUCUUUUCAUAUAGUGGAUUAUUUGUUGUCGCGAGGACAACCGUGGACGUUUCCCAUAUUGGGUUUUACCACGUUAAAAAUAUCGUGUGUUCUUUAUUUGUUUAUUGCUUUAUUGUUUGCUUUACUAUUGUUAUAUUGCACAUAUAUUGGGUUCUCAUUCUAUUGUGGAUUGCAGUGCCCUGAUGUUCAUUUUUUAAGUGAUGGCGGACUUGAGAAAACUACUCAAUCACAAACGAGAAAUCUAGCUACAAUGAGAUACUAUUUAUGUGAUAUCGUGGAAAGCAUUGAUAUUAUCUCAAAUUCAAUUAAAGAAAGUUGGUUACCAUAUAUGUAAUGUAGGCCUUAAUUGCUAUGGCACAAAGCAAAAAGUUGUUACAAGCCACAAAAGAUCAAUUUAGCAGAGUACAACCACUGGCAAUAAGUUCCAAAUGUAAUGGGACUUGAUAGAUAAACACAGUACUAGGACUUCAAAGAAAAGUGAGAACCAGAUGCUCAUGGUUUGUGGGAAGAACUUGGCAGAUGCUGGCAUUUAUCAGUAAAAACCAUCCCAUCCCACCAUUAGUUUUUUCCACAAAACAAACUCUUCUAUUAACUUAAGUAAAAGAGUCCAUACAAAACAACUGCCUUACAACUUCAGUAGAUCAUGAACUCCUUUUGUUGCACAAGCGUCAGCCCCAAAGUUCACUUCUCCUGUUGUAAGAUAAAACAAUACUAUGUAGUUUCUCUAUACAUUUCUCCCAUUCAUGUUGGACUAUCUGAUGUACCUGAUUAGUUUGAAAUCCUCUAAUGACUGCCUCAGAGUCUCCUUCUACCCAAAUGCACUUCCAGCCUUUUUCUAAAGCUUUCUUAACCCCAUUCAUGAUUGCAUUUGUUUCAGCUAUGUAGUUAGUUGCAACUCCCAAGGCCUCCUAUAUAUACACCAAGCAAGUUACCUUCUUCAUUUCUGUAUAUUACUCCCCAUCCAGCUCUCCCUGGAUUACCUUUACAGGCUCCAUCUACAUUUACUUCUACAUAUCCUUUCGAAGGAAGGGACCCGUAGCAUUCUACGACAUUAACACUAACUUCUUGACGAGACUGAAGACUUUGAAAAAAUGAAAUAACGCAUUGAUUGUCACUGCACACGACCAAAUGUUUGACAACUGUAUGUUUUAAUCCUUCACUAAUUGCAAGAACUUCUGCUCCUUCGGCAUUUGAUGCUUGAGCUGGACUGCUUCCUGCAAGGAAAGAUGUAUAAGACCAACAGCUUAGAGUAAAUCCAAUUCCUGAUUUUGGGGUGUCAGCAGAGUAUGAUCCUAUUUGUUGUGUGAUUGUGAAGAUAUAGGAUUGGGCAGAGGUUUGUGUAAUAUGGAUUGCCAAGCUAGAAAUAAAACUGUGUUUAGCAUUGUGGAGAAACCGUAUUAUGAAAAGUUGAAAACAAACAUGGUUUCUAUUAAACUAGAAGAAGUAAGCUAUCCAUGCAAUGCUAAUGAGGGUCUCUUUGAACUCUUGUUUACUAUAAGUGGUGAAUAAAGUCCACACAAAGGUUUUGAAUUGAAAUUCAUUUUGAAAACACAGAGCCAGAGAGGAUGCAAACCAGAUGCCACUAAUGUGAGGACACGUGAAUAAAGCCUGCUCUAAAGAUUGAUCAUGCAGACCACAUCUUGGACACAAUGGGGACAAACCAAUGAUUUUAUUAAAGAGAUGCAGAUUUGUAUGCAAAGCAUUACCCAAAAAAUUUCCAUAAGGGGCUAGGAUUAUGCAUACCUGGUUACAAAUUGUGUUGGUCUUUUACAAUGUUGAAAGAAGCAGGCAAUUUGAAGUUUACAGCCGAAUUUCUUGAGCCCAUAUGUUUUCAGUACGACAGGGAGGACUGGACUAGGAAAAAAAAUGCUACAAGCCUACAAUUGAUGAAGCAACCUACACACUUGAUUUUGAGGUCAUCCACAAGUACAAAAGAAUCUCAUGGAAACGGCAAAACAACAUUAACCAGAACUACAUUGAUAAGAUCAGAAGUUCUUAUACUAAAUAUAAAGAAAUCAUAUAGAUAGAUGGAACAAUGGAAGUACCAAAUAGCAUGCAAACAAAUUGAACAAAAUACAGUAUAAUUAACUCACAAUUGACUUUCAAAUAAUUUAACCAAGAAAAAGUUCAACAACUCCAUAAUUAUGGAAAUAAUAACAACAAUUUAAAUGUUAUACAUUGACACAAUGAUGUGAAAGACAACAUUACAGAGUAGGCAUAAAGAAAACUGGGCGAGAAAACUUAGAAAGUUGAUGAUCAACAAAAUAAAAAGGCUCUACCAUAUCAUGCUUGAUAUCAUAGAUUCCCAUGUCGCAGAACUUUUUUUCAUAAAAGUCAGAAUGGUCGUCAGUGAAGUAGAUGCAAUUUCCCCUGAAUUCUGGGUAAUCAGAAGUUGAGAUGGAAAAAGAAGUAUUAUUCCCUAGAAACAAAGCAUGGUCACCUAAAUCUUCUACCUCAGUCCACGUCUUUGAAUAAAAAUCAAACUUGUGCACCACAAAAUAUGUUGUUUCGUUGUGGUAGUCAUAAGCAGGUGUAUCAGCGUCAAUACCCUUGAAAGCUCGUUCAACCAUGCAAAGAUCCCCAGACAAUUCGACGAGAUAAAAUGUGCUACAAAGAUAUAUAUUAUCUGGGGGUGAUGCAAAAUCUUUUGCUUGAGGAUGACGUGUGUUGACCUCAAUAAUUCUUAGCAUUCCAUCACAAGAAAUAGCAUAAAAGUGGCCAUUGAAGAAUAUGAUGUCUUCGUAGUUUGACCUAGAACAUUCCACUGAUGUCCAAGCUUCAUCUCCAGGAGAAGCAACAGCAAGACGGCAGAUGUCUCCAUAUAUAGCCAUAACCAAAGAGCAGUGUCCAGACUCAUGGACAGAUGGAUCAGAUGCAAGAGCAAAUCUCAUAACAAAUGUCUGACAAUAAACUUCAGGCGUACAUGGCCCUUUCCAUUGGUGUUCAAACGUAGGCUGUGAAGGUAGAGAUAUUUGAACUCGGGUUAAUGGAUGUAAAAGAUGGAUAUCACGAUCAAGACCAAAGGUGAGCAACCAACCAUAUGGAGUUCCCCAACAUCUUGUUCUAUUAGCUUGAGGCAAAUAAUAAUUGAAAAGCCUUUUGGUAGAAUGACAAUAAAAAGAACGAAUUGAUCCUUUCUUAAACUGUUUGUCGUUUUUAGUUUUAGCUAGCAUUAGCCAAGGGGCACAAGGGAUGAUAUUACUCCUCUUAUGUUUCUUCACAACAAAAUUCCAUGACUUGCAAACACAACUG